CGUGUGGAUGCCUUGUGAGAAGAAGAAGAAAGGGUAGGGGGGUUAUAGGAAAAGUCUAGGGAUCUUUGCAUGAGGAAAAACAUAGAUCUCAAGGCCUAGAUGCAAAAUAGUCUCGGUUUUGUGUUAUUUCGUAGAUUUAAAAUGGAUGAAACUUUCAAAAUGUGUAGGAAAAUGUAGAAAAAUGGGAAAAAUAUGAAACUUAUUUUCCUAGGUUCCUGAUAAUAUCUAGUUUCUUUUAAAAAUAUUCAUAUGCAUGUUACUGAUCUGUAUGUAGCACUAGAUUUUAUUUUGUAUAAAAGCCAACAAAUGCUUUAUAAAUCAUAGAAAACUUGGAAAAAUAUGAAACCACUUCUGUUAGUUUACGUUUGACAUGCAUGUUCUAGAUCUAUAAGUUGUGCUACUAGAAUCCCUGAUGUUCAUAUUAUUUUAAGUCCAAAUGCUUAAAUGCUAAGUUGUGUUGGUUUAAAAUUCAGAAACAGGAUAACUUCCCAAAUGAAUGUUGAGCAACC
rnacentral:lncRNA from 1 species